rnacentral:misc_RNA from 1 species
UUUCCGUAGGUGAACCUGCGGAAGGAUCAUUAUUGAAUGAACUUGGUGUGGUUGUUGCUGGCCCUUUUGGGGGCAUGUGCACACCCACCAUCCUCAUCUCUCCACCUGUGCACCUCUUGUAGACCUGGGAUAGAUUUUCCGAGGCAACUCGGUCUGGAGGAAUGCUGCCCUAAGCUUUCUUUGUAUUUUCUGGUCUAUGUUUUUCAUAUACCCGAUAGCAUGUAACAGAAUGUAUCAUUUGGGCGCUUGUGCCCUAUAAACCUUAUACAACUUUCAGCAACGGAUCUCUUGGCUCUC